rnacentral:rRNA from 1 species
UACGGGGGGAGCAAGCGUUGUUCGGAUUUACUGGGCGUAAAGGGCGCGUAGGCGGCCACCGCAAGUCGACUGUGAAAUCUCCGGGCUUAACUCGGAAAGGUCAGCCGAUACUGCGGGGCUAGAGUGCAGAAGGGGCAACUGGAAUUCUCGGCGUAGCGGUGAAAUGCGUAGAUAUCGAGAGGAACACCUGCGGCGAAGGCGGUUCUCUGGGAAUGUCCUGACGCUGAGGAGCGAAAGUGUGGGGAGCGAACAGG